AAAUGAUAUUUAUUAAAGUUUCAAAAAAUACAAAAAAUACAGAAUACAAAAAGAAAAAGAAUAAAGUUUUAAAAAUAUAACCAAAAAAGUAAAAAAGAAAAAGAAACAUACCAAAUAAGACAGUUAAAAAGACAUUAAUUUUCCAUAACCUAUCUUCCCUACACUUAUUUCCCCGGACCUCCUCAUACCUCCCUUUUUUGUAUUCCAGUUCAAUUUGUUAGUUCAGCAAAUCCUUACCAUUGAGCUGUUACCCAAUUGCAAACCUUUUUUCAUAUCUCUUAAAGCAUUACAGCUAAAAACCUCUUAGUUUCUAUCCAACAUCGUUCUAAGAUUCCUUAAUUUUACAAUAUUUCUGUAAGUAGUCUUUAAAUUUCUUCCAAUCUUCUUUCACCGACUCGUCUCUCUGGUCUCGGAUUCUGCCAGUCAUUUCCGCCACAUCUUCUUGCUCUUCCAGGCCAUGAGGGGGGAGGCAGGGCUGCUGGUGCUGGGUCCCCAGGCCUCAGGAGGGGGACGUCUCCUGGCGUCCCCAGCAGCCUCCAUGCUGCCGGGGUCACAAACAUGGCUGGGUCCCGCCAUGGGGUCACCAACAUGGCUGCUGUCUGCCCUCGGCUGCCAGGCAGAGGCUGCUGGUUCUGCAGCUGGGACUUCAGCUCCCCUCCUGCGGCCGCCACCGUCUCCUUCUCCAAGCCCCCUAGGGUCUUCCUCUUUUCCCAUCUUCAGACUUGGCUGCUUGUCACUCCCGCUUCCUCGCGGUCCAAUAUGUGAUUUUUUAAAAUAAAAUUUGAAAAUCAGCUAAGCCACCCAAGAGCUGUUGGGCCAAGGCUGGGUCUCAACUGCCAAGUGAGGUUGGG